rnacentral:tRNA from 1 species
UCUUCCGUAGUAUAGUGGUCAUUAUGCAAGCUUGUCACGCUUGAGACCCGGGUUCAAUUCCCGGCGGGAGAG